AUGGAAGCAGAACUCACAGCAUUGGACACUGCCACUGUUGAAGCAGAGUGGCUUCGUGAACUCUUGAUGGACUUACUUAUGGUUGAAAAACCAAUACCCCCUAUCCUGAUGAACUGUGAUAAUCAAACUGUGAUCGUCAAGAUAAACAGUUCGAAGGACAAUAUGAAGUCCUCAAGACAUGUGAAGAGGAGACUAAAAUCUGUCAGAAAAUUGAGGAACUCCGGAGUUAUUACGUUGGAUUAUAUCCAAACGUCGAAAAACUUGGCAGAUCCCUUCACAAAGGGUCUAUCACGUAAUGUGAUAGAUAAUGCAUCGAUGGAGAUGGGUUUGAGACCCACC
rnacentral:rRNA from 1 species